rnacentral:lncRNA from 1 species
UCAUGUAAGAAAUUAGAGCUUUACUUAAAACCAUUUUUGGCAUACAUUAAACUUUUCAGUCAGAUGCAAAGAUAAUAUGUGAAAGUGAGGAAUCAAUUUCUUAACUAUCUCAAGUUUUGUCUCUCUCUUUUUGGACUCUUACCCAGUGUUUGGUGGAGAGGUAAAACGUUGAUGACUAAAGACUGGUGAACAGUUAACGGUAUUCUCCUUCUCCUUCUCCUUCUCCUAUAGCCCACAAAUCCUUUCCCUCUCUAUAAUUUCAACUGAACUGACUUGUUUUAGAUAUCAUUUUGAAAGUGAAAAUACUAUUUCC